AGGGAAUAUUGGUCAAUGGACGCAAGUCUGAACCAGCCAUGCCGCGUGCAGGACGACGGCCCUCUGGGUUGUAAACUGCUUUUAUAUAGGAAGAAACAUUUCGACGUGUCGGAAUCUGACGGUACUAUAAGAAUAAGGAUCGGCUAACUACGUGCCAGCAGCCGCGGUAAUACGUAGGAUCCAAGCGUUGUCCGGAUUUAUUGGGUUUAAAGGGUGCGCAGGCGGCUUGAUAAGUCAGCGGUGAAAGCCUCCAGCUUAACUGGAGAAUGUCCGUUGAUACUGUUGAGCUUGAGUAUAGUUGAGGUUGGCGGAAUGUAUCAUGUAGCGGUGAAAUGCUUAGAUAUGAUACAGAACACCGAUUGCGAAGGCAGCUGACUAAGCUAUUACUGACGCUCAUGCACGAAAGCGUGGGGAUCAAAC
rnacentral:rRNA from 1 species